CCUACGGGAGACAGCAGUGAGGAAUAUUGGUCAAUGGACGCAAGUCUGAACCAGCCAUGCCGCGUGCAGGAAGACUGCUCUAUGAGUUGUAAACUGCUUUUGUACGAGGGUAAACGCAGAUCCUCGUAUCUGUCUGAAAGUAUCGUACGAAUAGGAAUCGGCUAACUCCUUGCCAGCAGCCGCGGUAAUACGGAGGAUUCAAGCUUUAUCCGGAUUUAUUGGGUUUAAAGGGUGCGAAGGCGGUCGGAUAAGUUAGAGGUGAAAUCCCGAGGCUCAACUUCGGAAUUGCCUCUGAUACUGUUCGGCGAGAGAGUAGUUGCGGUAGGCGGAAUGUAUGGUGUAGCGGUGAAAUGCUUAGAGAUCAUACAGAACACCGAUUGCGAAGGCAGCAUACCAAGUUACUUCUGACGUUGAGGCACGAAAGCGUGGGGAGCAAACAGGAUUAGAUACCCCUGUAGUC
rnacentral:rRNA from 1 species